CAAUUGAAGGCUCGCGCGAAGGGAAGGAUCUAACGCGCAAAUAUCCAUUCUCCGCAGAAACACCCAGGUCCUAGGGGUAAAGGGUCAGAUCGGGUCGAGUAUAACUAAUACGACACCGUUUUGGGAGCCACUGAAACAGGCUCAAAACGGCACCGUUUUUGGUCCUUUAAAAUGCCGAAAACCAGCCUCCUUCAACCGAAUCAACCCCAGCCCCCUUUCUUCUCAACUAGCAAGCCCUAAAUCUUUUCUUUCAUACACCGAUCCACCACCAUGAAUGGCAACCGGUGGUUUCGGGGCUUCAAAGAGUUGAUUUUUAGCCAUGAGAUCCCCUUUUAGACUUCAAUUUCAACGAAGCAAAAAAGAAUCGCUAGCCCAUUCGUAAGGAAAUGAGAACAAAGAAAAAAAAAUCAAAGAAAGACUCAAACAAAUCAAAAACAGAAAUCACCUUUCUAUGGCUUUUGGAAAUGCUCUCUUUUUGUAUUUCAGUGCGUGUAGUAUGCGUAAGUCUUUUGCAGGUACAUUCAAUGGCUUUUUAUAUCCAAUUUACAGAGUAAAUAAAAAUAAAAUUACAUUUUAUUGCUGUCAUUUGCUGUAAAUUCUGUUAUUCCCCUUCUCCCAUGUUCUUUUGCAAGAGCAUCCGUACAGGAGCACGAAGAAAGGCGCGUGUGAAAGAGGCCGUGCUUGGGACCGUUCCUGGGGAGCCCAAUCCUAGCUGGCUACUGGUGACUUCCAGAAGCUUCCGGCCUGGGCUCUAUGAGCCUACUUCGAGAAUAAGCGGCCAUGAGUGCAGACUACUGCUGCAGCACCGAUCAGCAACUAGGGUUUCGGUUAGGGUUAGUCUUACGCCUUUAGGGUUAUUGGGUUAAGGACUUUGGGCAUAAUUAUUGGGCUGCAAUAGAUUUGGUUUAGUUUAAUAAUUGGGCUUAUAUAUAUAUUUUAGGAUUGUAAAUGGACAUUAAUUUAUUUUGGGGCUGUUUAAUGUUUUUGUUGCUUUUUUUUUUUUAUUUUGGGGUUUUUAUAUUUAUUUUGGUUUAUAAUGGGUCGGGUGAAUUGGGCCUAUUACAAUUAGUAUACCUAUUUAUUUUAACAUAUUAUAUAAAUUACACUUUAUAAAUGAAUAAACAAAUAAAACUCUGAAUAUUAAAUAUUUAAUAA